CGGCUAUGAGCUCCAAGAAAGACCUAUCCUUUCUGUUACCACCAGAGAAAGACACCAUUACCAAAUGGUGGUAAGACAGCCAACCAAAAGUUAUGCUAAUUAACACCAAGUACCAAGAUUCUUGUUGCCUGGAGACAAAGUUUCACAGCGAAGGAGCUUAAGGACAAAAAAGCAGAGCCUACCUUCUAGCAGUUUCAUGUGACUUCUUCCUCAAACCCAUCACCAUCAGCUCGGGAAAAACAUUCUUCAAAUACACUCCCAUACUUAGAGACCAUGGCCAAGGGCGGGAAAAGCCCCAAGGGCAAAAAGAUCACCCUUAAUGUGGCAAAGAAUUGUAUCAAAAUCACAUUCGAUGGGAGAAAGCGUCUUGAUCUGAGCAAGAUGGGAAUCACCACCUUCCCCAAGUGUAUCUUACGGCUCAAUGAGAUAGAUGAGCUCGAUCUUAGCCGGAAUAUGAUCAGAAAAAUUCCCGACUCCAUCUCCAAGUUCCAGAAUCUGCGAUGGCUCGACCUGCACAGUAACUAUAUUGACAAACUCCCCGAGUCCAUUGGCCAGAUGACCUCCCUGCUCUUCCUCAAUGUCAGUAACAACAGGCUGACCACCAACGGGCUACCCGUGGAGCUGAACCAGCUCAAGAACAUCCGCACCGUGAAUCUGGGCCUUAACCACCUGGACAGCGUGCCCACCACACUGGGGGCACUGAAGGAGCUCCAUGAGGUGGGGCUACACGACAAUCUGCUGACCUCUAUCCCUGCCGGCAUCUC
rnacentral:lncRNA from 1 species